GCCUACGGGACGCAGCAGUGGGGAAUAUUGCACAAUGGGGGAAACCCUGAUGCAGCGACGCCGCGUGAGUGAAGAAGUAUUUCGGUAUGUAAAGCUCUAUCAGCAGGGAAGAAGUUGACGGUACCUGAGUAAGAAGCCCCGGCUGACUACGUGCCAGCAGCCGCGGUAAUACGUAGGGGGCAAGCGUUAUCCGGAUUUACUGGGUGUAAAGGGAGCGCAGACGGCAGUGCAAGUCUGGAGUGAAAGCCCGGGGCUCAACCCCGGAACUGCUCUGGAAACUGUGCGGCUAGAGUACUGGAGGGGCG
rnacentral:rRNA from 1 species